rnacentral:rRNA from 1 species
GACGUAGGGCGCGAGCGUUGUCCGGAUUUAUUGGGCGUAAAGAGCUCGUAGGCGGUCUGUUGCGUCGGCUGUGAAAACCCGGGGCUCAACCCCGAGCCUGCAGCCGAUACGGGCAGACUAGAGUUCGGCAGGGGAGACUGGAAUUCCUGGUGUAGCGGUGAAAUGCGCAGAUAUCAGGAGGAACACCGGUGGCGAAGGCGGGUCUCUGGACCGAUACUGACGCUGAGGAGCGAAAGCGUGGGGAGCGAACAGGA